CCCCAUGGAGCUUUAAACCCAACGACACCCGCCCCCCUCCAAAUCCUACUAUUUACCCGGUGAUUGUUUGUUUGGUUUUAGGUUGGGGUGACCGCGGAGUAUAAGAUAUCCUCCAUGAAAAAAAGCUAACUGCCCUUAUUAGAGAAAGACACUUCCAAAAAAUAAUAAAUUAAUUUUAAAUGAUCCGACAUUCGAUCAACGAACCAAGUUACCCUGGGGAUAACAGCGCAAUCCGUCCCGAGAGCCCCUAUCGACAGGCGGGUUUACGACCUCGAUGUUGGAUCAGGGUAUCCUAGUGGUGCAGCAGCUACUAAAGGUUCGUUUGUUCAACGAUUAAAACCCU
rnacentral:rRNA from 1 species